rfam:Bordetella hinzii strain F582, complete genome.
CUGGCGGCAGCGCUCUUCGGUCAGCGUCAGGCAGACCAGCCCCCGCCCGUGGGUCACCAUGAAGUUGAUGGCCUCGGGCGUGACGAACUCCGCCGCCAUGACCA